GGGAGGCUGUGAGGCCUCCCCGAGGUGGCCGGUGCAGCUGAUCCAGCCCCCUGAGCACUGGUCCCAAUGGAAUGUGAUGUGAUGGGGGUUUUGCCAGGCAAGGAAUUACUGUGUCCAGCACUGGGCUCCUCAUUACAAGAAGGAAAAGAAGCUACUGGAGAAGGGCCAGUGGAGGGCCAUAUAGAUGAUUACGGGUCUGGAGCAUCUCUUUUAUGAGGAGAGACUGCAGGACCUGAACCUGAAUAGUCUAGAGAGGAGAAGACCGAGAGGGGAUCUCACCAGUAGCAUAUAAGUAUCUCAAAGGUAGCAGGAAAUUCAAGCACAUGUGUGCCUCAGGCAAAUAAAGUAACCUUACAAACUGCAUUUGAAGGAUUAGAUGUCACCUCUGAUGUACCUGGAUCCAGCUCGCUACAACCAUCUCACAAAAAGGACCUGCUUGUGCAAGAGAGUGCGAACUCUCUGAUGUUACCUGUAUGCACUAAAGAAAAGACCUCUGACUUCAACACACUUGGGAAAAGGAAGUUUUGGACAAGACAUGCUAGAUGGUGGAAACCUCCUAAAUCAAACCAUUAGGAAGUCAGAAAGGGACUGAACCAUGCUUUUGGGUUCUCUCUCUUUCAGUUCUGAUCUUUUUUUCAUAGAAGUUCAAUAUUCUUGAGAGAAAAUAUGUUGGGAUAAAUUUAUCAUAAUGCCAUGAUCAACAGUAACCUUUGGUUAACAGCAGUCAGCCUGCCUACAUGGCUGGAAAAUAUGUAAUUCAUUUAUCAUGUAAUUCAUUUAUCUAGAAAGCCCAGAAAGCUUUCUAGCAAGAACAUGUAUUCAGAACACAGGCAAGCAUGACUGUUUCUCUCACGAAGAUAAACUUAUAUAAGGAUCCUGGACUGCCUUCCUGAGUGCCUACACAUACCCAAGUAUAGCUUCUGCAUAGCUCACUAAAAAGCAGGAUAAAAUGGGCUAGACAACUUUACUACCAUUUAAAAACAAAGAAACAAAACCCCACACCUGCAACUCUUAUGCCUGAAUUAAGAAUUUUUUCAUAUUAAAAUUACACCAUAAGCCCACUCACAUCAUCUCACUUUUACUAAGAAUGGUUCACAUUUAAGAUUCCUAUCUUAACAGUAUCUUAACGUUUCUUUGUCCCUGGAGCAAAAGAGGGUAGUAAUUAUAGUAGUAAUGUCAUAACUCGAUCCUCCAUCAAGAGGGAUGCCAAUAUCAUUUAAGCAAUGACUCCAGACUUUUCCACACCAUUACAAUGCCAAACUUUCUAAAGCAGAAAAUACAAUUCUAUCUUGCAGAUCUCUGGAUUUCCACUGAGCUCAGCAUAAAUCAAACUCAUCCUCUAAGGCAGGAUUGCAAAACAAUCAUGUCUCAGAGAUGGAAAAUCCAGCAUGCUGACUAAA